CUACGGGGGGCACCAGUGGGGAAUCUUGCGCAAUGGGCGAAAGCCUGACGCAGCAACGCCGCGUGCGGGAUGAAGGCCUUCGGGUUGUAAACCGCUUUUAACAGGAACGAAAAUGACGGUACCUGUAGAAUAAGGUGCGGCCAACUACGUGCCAGCAGCCGCGGUGACACGUAGGCACCAAGCGUUGUCCGGAUUUAUUGGGCGUAAAGAGCUCGUAGGCGGUUCAGUAAGUCGGGUGUGAAAACUCUGGGCUUAACCCAGAGACGCCACGCGAUACUACUGUGACUAGAGUUCGGUAGGGGAGCGGGGAAUUCCUAGUGUAGCGGUGAAAUGCGCAGAUAUUAGGAGGAACACCGGUGGCGAAGGCGCCGCUCUGGGCCGAUACUGACGCUGAGGAGCGAAAGCGUGGGUAGCAAACAGGAUUAGAUACCCUGGUAGUC
rnacentral:rRNA from 1 species